AUUGAACGCUAGCGGGAUGCUUUACACAUGCAUGUCGAACGAGUGGCGGACGGGUGAGUAAUAUACGGGAACGUGCUCAGUAGCGGGGGAUAACUACUCGCAAGUGUGGCUAAUACCGCAUACCAUGGGAGCGGCCGAUAUCGGAUUAGCUAGUUGGUGGGGUAAAGGCUCAUAUAGGCAAUGAUCCCUAGCUGGUUUGAGAGGACGACCAGCCACACUGGGACUGUGACAAGGCCCAGAAUCCUGCGAGAGGCAGCAGUGGGAAAUUUUGGACAAUGGGAGAAACCCUGAUGCAGCCAUCCCGCGUGUAUGAGAAGGCCUUCGGGUUGUAAAGUACUUUUGGCAGAGAAGCGUUGUCUGCAGAAGAAGCACCGGCUAACUACGUGCCAGCCGCCGCGGUAAUAC
rnacentral:rRNA from 1 species